CGAACGAUUAGCAGACACAGAAAGCCACUCCUGUGCCUUUGACAAUGGAAACAGGUCAGAUUUCUGAUUGUAUCUACAGCAGCUUCAUACAGCAGUAUCUCAUGAAAACAUCAGUAUACUUGGACAUAACCUAUUGUUGUUCAGCUGUAACACAGACUAAUCAGGAUACUCAAGAUAUGCAACAUAAAUAUGCAGCAAUGGAACAGUAAAACCAAAAUUAUUGAAGGUUGAAUCUGAUUGGUCUUCCGAAGAAAUGAAGCAGAGAAUGGCUGUCACCUGUUUUGUGAGUUAUAAAAAGCACAACGUCCAGAUCUCAUCUCGUCUCCUCUUCCCAAACUCUUCUGCUGAGCAUUUGCCAGAGGAGGGGGUCUCUACUUCAGCUGAAGUUAUGAUGGGUUUCCAGGACAGUCUCAGUGGAGUGAAAAGUGAAUGGGAGCAGCGCAGUGAGGAAGUCACACUUCACUUCAUCACAUGAACAGAACUGAAGUUCAUGGGAAUCAGGGAAAAGGUUGGCGUUGGUUGGAAUCAUACUGAGGACAAAUGAAAUUAUUGUGGUCGAUGAAGGCAAAUCAUUUCUGACCCAUGGCAUUGCGACAGGAGUUCCUCAGGAAAAGCUCACCUAUCUUCAGAGGCCUCAUCAAAGAACUUCUGUUGUUCCUGAAUUCAGAAGAGGAAUGUUUGCCAAUGAUUGCAGAGUGUUCAAUACCAUUCAAGAUCUUCAGAUACUGAAGCAUUUCAUGCCUGAAUGUUGUAAGAUCUGGACAACAUUCAGGUUUGGGCUGAAAAAUGGCAAGUCAUAUUCACAUCAUAAAUGCCAGGCAAUGACCAUCUUCAAUAGGAGAGAAUUAGACCAUCAUCUCAAGACAACAAUAUUUCCAUCAAUUAAUCUCUCACUUGAAGGUUGCCAAUGACCAGAAAUUUAAAUGGACCAGCCAUAUUAAAACUCUGGAGAAGAGAUGAUCACAAGCAAAUUCUGCAGUGCCUCCAGAAUCCUGUCGAUCAUCUAUGACACAAGUUAGACAGUGAUGGAAUACUCUCCACUUGCUGGAUGAUUGCAGCUCCACAAAGCUCAAGAAGCUCACCACGUCCAAGAGGAAGCAGCUCAUUCAAUUGACAUCAUCCAUCAGCCAUAUUAAACAUUCACUCUCCUCACAACUGAUACAUUAUAGCAGCAAUGCAUGCUAUAUACUGUUUGCAGUGCAGGAACAUCUAUCCUUCCUUUGAAAUCACCUCUUAAAUGCAAAACCUCUACUACCUUGAAGGGCAACAACAGCUGACCUCUGCAAAUCUCAGCACCUGUGAACACCCCUCCAUGCUGACUCAGAAUUAUCAUCUCUUUGCUUUGGUUGGGUCAAAAGCCUUGAACUCCCUUCCUAAUAGCAUUAUGGAUGUAUGUACGCUACAAGAAAUGCAGCGAUUUAAGAAAGCAGUGCACCCCUGUUUUCUCAAGGACACUUAGGAAUGGACAACAAAUUCUGGUCUUGCUACUCGUGCUUCAGCAUUAUUCAGCCAAUAAAUUGUAUUGACAUUGGUGAUUGGAUUGGGGUGCGUGACUCAAAACAAUUUCAUUAAUAUUCACAGAAGCAUUGUAAAAUGAAGCAGAAUGCUGAACUACAUGAACAGUUACUGGUCAAAGCAAAAACUUUAAGAAUUUUCACAAAGGAAGAAAGUGAUGCAGAGAGGUGGAGAGAAGUAGAGAAGGUAUUUGAGAUCUUAGAAUGGACAGACCUGCAAAGAUAAAUCAUACAUAGAUUAGAGGCAAGCUAUUUACCUUCUCGAAAAAAAAAGUAAUCUUCACUCAGUCAGGGAGAGAUCCAGAGUGAGGCACAGCCUAAGUGAAAAUGUAGUUUGGGGAAUUUGGAGGCAAUAUGGGAAGUAUGUGCAGACGGGAAGAAGUACUUUUUGCUUGUUUGUUGAUUGGGUCGUAGUUUGUAAGGUUUUUUUUCAAACAAGAUAAAUUGAAGCCAAAAGGAGCCCAGCACAAAUAGGGGAAACAUUUACAGGCUACAAACGAAAAGACCAAUUUGAUUUUUGUUUUAAAAAAAUCAACUUAAGAACUAAAUAAUGAAAACAGAGAUGCUGGGCUGGGCAAUGCAUUGGAGCUGCAUGAUUUAAGAGUUGUUGAACUCCAUUGUGGCUCAUCAUGACCACAUCUGUACCAGGUGUUCAUUGCUUGAGGAGCUCCAGUUCAGAGUUGAUUAACUACCUAAAUUCAGCCAGUAGUCACAGACUGGAGGGUGUGACUACCAUUGAGGCAAGUAGAGGAAUACAAGAGGUAGUGCUGAAGGAUCCUCAGCCCUUACGCUUGUCGUAAUCAUACAGUAUGAAAACAGAUCCUUUAGUCCAACUCAUCUGCAUCAACACAACAUCCCAAUUUGACCUAAUUCCAUUUUCCAGCAUUUGGCCCAUAUAUCUCUGAACCUGUCCUUUUCAUAGCCCGUGCAGCUUAUUCCAUACAUACACCACCCUCUGCAUGAAAAAGUCACCCCUCAAGUUCUUUCUAAAUAUUCUGCCUCUCACCUUAAACCUAUACUCUCUAGUUUUGGACUCCCCCACCCUAGGAAAAAGACCUUCGCUAUUUACCCUAUCCAUGCCCCUCAAAGUUUUAUAAGCCUCUAAAAAGUCCCCCUAUAAUGAUGCUGGGGCUUUAAGAGGUGUGUUUUGUCCUGGUUUCUUUUAGAGACACAGAUUAGGGUUCAGGUGAGAGCUGUCUAUGGGAAGUUAAAUAACUUGAGAGGCCUCAGGAAUUUUUUUUAAGAAGUUAGAAGCAGCCUGAGUGGGUGUGAUCAAGCAUUCACAGAUCCAAAAUUUUUAGUUUGCUUUCAGCAGUUGCUGUUAGGAUCUUGAAGAAGUGGAAACUAUCUUUUUCCUCAUGUGAUUAUAACAAAAAGCUGGGGGUUGUCUUCUUUGGCUGCCAGAUUGUAUGUGAGACAGAUCUGUUUUCUGAAUUUGCCUGAUACCA